rnacentral:piRNA from 1 species
CAGAGGCACCUGUAGGAGACAUUAC